UAAUUAUUGUGUUGUGCCGUAGACAGUAGGAGCGUAAGCUUAAUUACCUACCGAGGAAAUUAAAAAGAUUUUUUAACUCCUGCGGUAAGUGGGAGUUUUAAUUU
rnacentral:sRNA from 2 species